GGGUUUUCUUACAAAAGCACUCAAUCCCCCCAUCAUCCGUCUCCUCUCCAGCGUCACCGCCGCCUGAUUCAGCACAUCCGCCGCGUCACCGCCGCUGACCUUCGCCCUGACCUCCUCCCCGCUGCACCGAAGCCUCUCUAUCCCCUGCGCCUCCACAUGUCGCGGCUACGCGGGCAUCUCGUUGGAUCUAUCAUCGGCGGCGAGGAGGCGUGGCGAUGGUGCCGAGGUUCAUCGGCCGGUGGAGGAACAUCGUCGACUUGAGGACCGUGCCCAGGUUCCGCAUGGUCCCCAACUACUGCCACCCCGUGGGAGCCGCCGAGGGGGGCAACAACUAUGGCUUUCAGAUGAUAGUUUGAUCAUGCACACAAUGCGUUCGACGAAAUGUCCAUGGGCAUUCAUGGGUGUGGCUGGCGCCCUGAUGAUGCUCAAUCCUACCUUCCUCGUUGGAUUACUUUGGUGUUGGUCGAAGCAUUGGCCGACCAAGGAAUGUGCUGCCAGGAGUUACAAUGGUGGACUCACGUCUUAGAGGGCAGUUCCCUUCUGACUCAUAUGGUGACAUACCGUGGCGUGCCGUGAAAACCUGAGAUUGGCAAAUGGCUUACUAAGUGUGAUGCCGGCGUGUCUUUGUCACUGACCAAUUCGGAUUGCUUGAGCUUUCCCUGGAUUAAUUUGGUUGUUCUUCUGAAACGGUUUAUAGGUGCAAAGGGGUGCGAGCAAGACUACAAUGGACAAGGUGUGUGCAACUAUGAGCUGGGAUAAUGGAGAUGCUUUCAUGGAUAUGUUGGAUAUAAUGAGGCAAUAAGAACUGUGCGUGGAGGGCCGGAAGAUGAUGUCUGUCAUGGCCGGCAAGAUGGACGAGCUCUGGAUAGGGCGUAUGGAGUGGUGCGUGCUGGAAUGUAACAAGAACGCCAUCAACUUCUACGAGGGAAUGGGCGAGCCACGCAGGUGUGCUCCCGUAAUGGCACAUAUACAGACUCACUGGCGCUGCACACUGGAAAGUACAAUGGGACUAAGAGAAGGGCAAUGGGGCGAAAUAGAUCGGUGGUUGAUUCUUAGUUGUCCAGUCUCAAGUAAUAAAGAAACCGGAGAUGUGUGAUUUAGGGUAUUGGAUAAGUUCGUGAUGUCUUAGCUUGAUGUUCUUUCAAAUGUAGUACACAAUCUUUGCAGAAGGUUAAGGGAAAAUAAACAAAUUCUUAAAUUAUAGGAAAAGGCAAAAAAAGAUAAUUCAGGAGAGUCACAAGCCCCAUUGCAUAACAAGCCCAAAACUGAAUGUUGGAGACACUCUAGAUCAAAACGUUAGCAAGCGGAAAUGGUAUACUGUUAUACCUAAUUUUAUAAAAUUAUUUUAUCUCUAACCUUUUUACA